CCUUUGGUUAUCACCUCCUUUCUGCUACUGGGCUGAGAUGAGGGUUUUCUCCACCGAUUGUGGUGGCCUGAGUCAGAGAUCGACAGCCAGAUGCUUGUGGCUACCACACAAAACGUGCUCUCUUGCUGACCUCGAGGUCCAGACGCAAUGGAUCGUCUCCAAGGGACAACCAAGAUCAUGAAUCUGGACUCCGGCUUCCGUGGUAUUUCUGUGUGCCUCGACUUUGGCUCCAUGCUUAUUCAUUAAUUUAGCGAGAUUUAGGACUUCAAAAGUUGUAGCAUGAGUUUUUGGCCAAGACGGCACAUAUGAAAAGUUAGCCAAGGAUGUACGAAAUCUUAUAUUUGUAUUUUCACAUUUUGGAUUCACCAUGUCCAAAUGCAAGCUACAUUUUGUCUA